rnacentral:rRNA from 1 species
CAUUGUCUAAAGAAUUAAUUUUAGAUACAGCCUGCUCAGUGUAAUAAUCAACAGCCGCAGAAAUUUAACUGUGCUAAGGUAGCAUAAUCAUUAGUCUCUUAAUUAGGGAAUAGAAUGAAUGGCUAAACAUUUCACCCACUUUUUUAUAGAUACCCCUAAAAAUUUUACUAAAUAUAAAAAUAUAUUUAUACCUAAGAAAGACGACAAGACCCUAUCGAACUUUACUUUAGUUUAGCUGGGGCAGCUAAUUAAAUACAAUUUUAAUUACAAUAUUUAUAUAAGCAGACCCGACCCAGUCGAUUUCUUGAUCAAGUUACCGUAGGGAUAACAGCGUAAUAAAUUUUUAAAGCUCUUAUUAAAAAAUUAAAUUGCGACCUCGAUGUUGAAUUAGGUAUCUUAACAACGCAAGAGUUUAUUAAGAAGGUCUGUUCGACCUUUAAACUUCUACAUGAUCUGAGUNNAAAACCGGAGANCGACCUCGAUGUUGGAUCAGGACAUCCCGAUGGUGCAGCCGCUAUUAAAGGUUCGUUUGUUCAACGAUUAAAGUCCUACGUGAUCUGAGUUCAAACCGGAGA